rnacentral:lncRNA from 1 species
GUACUACACCCAAAGUGGCAAGCCCCUCUUGCGCCCUUUCGGGUAACCUCUAACGAGUUAGAAAAGAUCCUAUUACUGAGUUAAAGUCAGAGCCAUGUGACUCUCCCGGUUGCACUGUAAGUCCCAGCUUUUGCCGACAGAUGAGUCCUUACGGAGGGUCUAGGACAACAUGACCAACAGUCAUUUGUACCAUAGCCCUAUGUUCCAUUUAUCAUAAUCAUGUUUAAUCAAUUAACCAUGGUUCCAUCACUGAUUUCAGAUCAUAUAUAAUUGGAGUUAGAGCACUAGCACUUCUACCCAUAUGCAAUAAAAGCCCUCGGGAACAAGGUAAUUGUCAUCAACAGCUAGGAUGUCCUUAUAGUUUGCAAUAUUAUACACAUGCAGGGUGAAAUGCUUAAAAUGAGUAGGACAACAAGGUAGGCCCAUGCUAUACUUGCCUUGGUUCAUGUACUCCUGCUGGUCUUGCUGGUCCCCAAAGAGCUCCGGACUCCCGAAAUACUCCUCACCGUCUGGGCUCGAUCAAUACAUCACAAUCAUCACGCAUACCAAGACAAACAUGCAAGAGAAUAAUUGCCUAAUGUUAGAACAGUACACCAGCAGUAAAUAAAUUAAAUAAAAGUUUUUCCAAAAUCAUCUACGUGCCGCUACGAUCACGUCAACGCGAAAUUCACGAAAAACAGACUUACGACGCGAAAGUUAUUCUUUUAAUGGGAUUUUAACAGCAAUCUACGAACUUGUAAUUAACUAGGAAAUCUAACAGUGGUAAACCUAAACAAUAGUGGUACCAACGUGAAGCUUACGAAAUUAUGAAACUAACGCAACUUGAACGGAUCGAUUCGGAGUUCAAACGACGAUUUUAUAGCUAAAACAAUGUGGUGGCAAUUCUGUAAAUAAAGCAGAGUUUAAACGAAUUUAAAUAAAUGAAUUAAAUCCUGGAAAUUCCUCUCGCCGAGGACUGCGCGCGCGUAAAUGGGAUUCCUGGGGGGCUCUUUAACAAAAUAUCAUAUGAAGGGGUAUCAAGUGAUUCUGGCCGUUGGAUCAAGUUUGAACGCACUAGAUUAAAAGAAAAAAAAUAAAAAAAAAAGAGAGAGAGAGGAAGGGGACGGCCCACAGGCCAGCUCCGGCAAGAACACGGUGGCCACCAUGGCCGGCUGCAAGGAAGCUCGCCGGAGCAAGAGAAUAAGGACCUACGGUGCAUGGUUUUCAAUUCCGAUUGAACUGGCAGAAAGAGGAGAGCGAUGCGAGUCCAUUCCAAACCAUAAACGCGGUCGAGGAGGUGGUUUCCGAGAAGGUUCACGACGACGCCAUGAACGCCCCGUCGGAGCUCGCGGAACUAGGACUCCAGGCCACGAUUCGCUCGGCAACAGGACGGGGAGGGAGCGGGAAGGGAGAUGAAGCUCACCACGGCGCCAAAUCGUAGCGAAAACGACUCGGGACGGCGGCUUCACGCGGCGGUCACGGUGGCGGUUCUUCUGCGACUUCUCAGAACUCUCGCGAGAUGAGAGAGAGCGAGGAGGAGAAAAUGAGAGGGGGGGAAGCGGCUUCGGACGCGGGCGCUCUCCACUACAUAGCCGAGACGCGAGGGGAGGAGAACGUGGGCGUGGGGGGGCGGCUUCGGCGGUUGCUGCUGAGAGAGAGGAAUUCGGGAGCGACGGUUUGGGGAAGGGGAUGAACCUGACGGGUCGGCCCCACCCGUCAGCCGCCAGAGAGGGAGAGGGGGAAGGGGGAAAUCGGCUGGGCCAGGCCCAAGGAGGAGAAGGGGGCGCGUCGGGGUUGCUGGGCCACAAGGCGGAAAAGAAGGAGGGGGAAGAGAGAAAAGCUUUUUUCUUUUUAUUUUCCAAACAAAAUUUUCAAACUUGUUUCCAAAUGAAUUUUUUUUGAAUUCAAAUUCCUUUCUUCAAAACCACUCAUCACA